GGGGAGUUAGCUCAGCGGUAGAGCGCUUGCUUAGCAUGUAAGAGGUCAUGGGUUCAAAUCCCAUAUUCUCCA
rfam:chromosome VII of strain GB-M1 of Encephalitozoon cuniculi (Microspora)